AUUGAACGCUGGCGGCAUGCCUUACACAUGCAAGUCGAACGUGAAAGCGGGGCAACCCGCAAGUAGAGUGGCGGACGGGUGAGUAAUACAUCGGAACGUGUCCAGUAAUGGGGGAUAACCUAGCGAAAGUUAGGCUAAUACCGCAUACGAUCUACGGAUGAAAGCGGGGGAUGCGGCACUAAAGGCUUUUGGCGAAGGUGGCCAAGGGUGAGUCAAGAGCUUUUAGUGCUGCACCUCGCGUUAUUGGAGCGGCUGAUGUCUGAUUAGCUAGUUGGUGAGGUAAAGGCUUACCAAGGCGACGAUCAGUAGCU
rnacentral:rRNA from 1 species